GUCCACGCCGUAAACGAUGGGCACUAGGUGCUUUGGGGAGCGACCCUCAGGGUACCGGCGCUAACGCAUGAAGUGCCCCGCCUGGGGAGUACGGCCGCAAGGCUGAAACUCAAAGGAAUUGACGGGGGCCCGCACAAGCGGUGGAGCAUGUGGUUUAAUUCGACGCAACGCGCAGAACCUUACCUAGGCUUGACAUGCACGGGACAGUCCUUGGAAACAGGGGCCUCUCUUCGGAGCCCGUGCACAGGUGCUGCAUGGCUGUCGU
rnacentral:rRNA from 1 species